CACGAGCGCACCCUCGCCCUUAGUUGCCAGCAUUCAGUUGGGCACUCUAGGGGAACCGCCGGUGAUAAGCCGGAGGAAGGUGGGGAUGACGUCAAGUCCUCAUGGCCCUUACGGGAUGGGCUACACACGUGCUACAAUGGUGGUGACAGAGGGUUAAUCCUUUAAAAGCCAUCUCAGUUCGGAUCGGGGUCUGCAACUCGACCCCGUGAAGUUGGAAUCGCUAGUAAUCGCGGAACAGCAUGCCGCGGUGAAUACGUUCCCGGGCCUUGUACACACCGCCCGU
rnacentral:rRNA from 1 species